CAUCAUGUUUUAUGUUUAACCUAAUGUCUCAAAAGGCGUGUCGUCUGUAAAAUUAGUGUGAUAUAAAAUAAUUUAAAAAUAUUAGAGGGAGAAAUAUUAUCUAAUACAGUGAUUCUUAUUACUAGAGGUUUUUGGAUGGCAGGAUUCGAAUUCCGAAAAUAUAUAUAUGUGUGGCGUCUUCAAAAUUUAGAAUAGUUUUAUGCAUAAAAUAUAAUAAAAUUAAGUUUUUUCUAACUUAGUUAUAAUAUUUUGGACGGUGACUAUAUUCAAAAAAUUUAGAGGAUUAAACAUGCUAAGAAUAGAAUAAUUUUAGGAUGAAUAAUUUUCUAAGAAGUAAGGCGCUACAAUUAAUAUUAGAAUCGAUUAUAAACCGGAAAUAUGAAAUGAGUUUCAACAGAGUUAAGAUCAUUCAGCGGGUAUGCGGCUUCCCACAAGAUCGACUAAGGCUAGUGAUUUAAGUCACAUAUCUCUUGGUACUUAUGAGUAUGCUUGAACUUGAUAAGGCCGGGAUUUGAAGGAGAGAAGAAUGUGACACUCCCAAAAUUUAGAAUAAUUUUAUCUAUAUGAUAUAAUAGGGCUAAAUUUCUUAACUCAGUUAUAACAUUUUGAACGAUAGAUAAGUUUAUUCUCAGAUGGAUGACCCUCUCGAAAGUGAGGUAUCACCGUAUGUUUAGAGAAUUUGAUACUCCAGCUUUUUUUUGGGUACUAGCAGUUGAGUUUGAGAUAGCUUUCAUGCUUCUCGCAAAAUUUUGCUUGCACCGUUAGUACUUUUUCUUGCUUUGGUUGCCGUUUGAUUUGGGGUUUAUAAUUCUAUGGCGUCUCAUUUCGCAAGCUUAAACUGGAGCUCUAAAACUGAAAAGCAUCAAAGUUUCAUUUAGCGCUC
rnacentral:lncRNA from 1 species